UCUUUCCUAUAGAUGGCACGCACAUCCCGCCGCCUUCUUGCAGCACUAGGAGUGAAACAGCUUACGUCUCUUGAAUGGAAGCAUGGACCGAGUCAAAGUCACCUGCACCUUCCUGACACUGGUCAUCUUGGUGGUCACAAAUUCCGUGGGCUGCAGUAGGACAUUGGAUCAGCUGAUCCUGCGUCGGUCGGUGAACAUUCGUAUGAAACAUUCAGUGAACACUGGAAAAGUUGUGAAAUCGUGCCGGUACGUUACGAAGGGGCGACCGCAACACGUGAUGCACGUACGAGACGGCACAAUCUGC